UGCCAAUUCGACUCUAAUACAUUUUGAUUCAAGUUGAUGUAAGCAAACAUUUGAAACAACCAAGUUCUUAAAAUCGUUUUAUUGACUCGAGCACAAAAAGGAGCAAAUUCUGUUGAGUCGAGAAAGAAGGCAUACAGGUUUGGGACAAUAUAAGGAGUUGCAGAGCAGCGUUUCUUUCUCGGCUCUCUGUCCUGGACUCGGUCCAUGCUUCAUCCAUGUGGUUAUGGUGAACUGAUGGGUUAGAUUCUGCGGGACCACCCAGUCUGGGAUCUUGGCAGCUUGCCGACCAUCAAAGCGAUAUGUGAGGUCACUAUCCCGGCCGCCAUCCUUCACAAGAGUCGCCGUCCAAUUAAAAACACUGCUGGAGGCCGGCAAAAGAUCUGUGCUGCCUGAUGAAGCUCCUGGUAUGUUGCCGUCAUGACCGGGAAUGAAACUGUUUGCCUGCUCUUGUAUCUGUGGAGAGACUGCGAGAGAUGGAAGCUGCUUAGCAAAGGCAAUUUCUGCAGAGACAAGCAGCAAUGAGAAUUGCAUUAUACUGUAUUAGGCAAAUGAUAUGAUAUUGAUAGCAGUUGACUUCUGCAAACUAUGCUAGAUUGCUUUUAUACCAAAGCUUAUUGGAGUUUGCAUGAAGCCUGAAUGUAUCUAAAUAUACCAAAUGCUAAAAUUAAACUGACUGUGGUCUGCAUCUAAAAAUUUAAAAUGCAAACACGCCACAUUUUGCAUGAAUAAUUGCAGCCAUGAUCAAUAAAAUAUGUCCUCAAAGAUCUAUUUUUAA